rnacentral:rRNA from 1 species
UACGUAGGGGGCAAGCGUUGUCCGGAAUCAUUGGGCGUAAAGAGCGUGUAGGCGGUUCGGUAAGUCCGCUGUGAAAGUCAAGGGCUCAACCCUUGAAAGCCGGUGGAUACUGUCGAACUAGAGUCCGGAAGAGGCGAGUGGAAUUCCUGGUGUAGCGGUGAAAUGCGCAGAUAUCAGGAGGAACACCGAUGGCGAAGGCAGCUCGCUGGGACGGUACUGACGCUGAGACGCGAAAGCGUGGGGAGCAAACAGG